rnacentral:lncRNA from 1 species
UUCUUUCACGUUGUUUACAGGUACGAUCGGCCUUCUUUGAUUAAUGCUCUGUUUAUGACAAUGUCUUCUGUUAUUAAUGUUGUGUUUAUGCAAUGCUGCUAGUUGACUAGGAGUUGAUAAUGGUUAUACUGUGUAAAAGUAUAAAUGCUACUCAGUAAUUGGUUUAUUAGACCAUAAUCAGUAAAAUUUCUAGUAAUCGACAAUUUCACAUGGUUCCAACUUCACGUUAGUUUUCACAUCAGAAACAUGUUCCAAACCAGAAUCAUUACCGGAAUGUGGUGAUUCUUUAGAGAGGGUAAUCUGGUCUUUUUGUUCUGGACUGGUGAUUGAAGUAGAACUUUCACUCUCCUGUGAUAACUUGUCAGCUAUGGAUGCCAACAAGUCAAAGGCGCAUAUUUUGCUACCCUCUGAUGAUUUCCUAUGUGAACUCCUCUAAAGAAACAAAAAAAAUGUGUCAAUAUUCUUUCUUAUAGAAAAACUCAGAAAGAAUUUGCUACAAACCCCUUUCACCAAACAUCUAUUCAGAGCUCACCACUUCUCCAAUAGCAGCAGCCUCACUUGGGCAGGUGUAUAAAGGUAAUUAAUUAAUUACCUGGGGUUUAUCUGAUGUGUCCUUUUUUGAUGAUCUUUUUUGAGAAGCCUCUUUUACUGUGAGACAAAC